AUGGCCAAGCUUUGUGUUGUCCUCCUCACCGCCUGCGCCGCCCUCCUGGCUCUGGGUGCAGCGCCGUCGCUCGCCGGUGACCCCAACAUGCUCCAGGACAUCUGCGUCGCCGACUACAUGUCCCUUCAGGGCCCGCUGAGGGUGAACGGGUACCCCUGCAAGCGGGCGGAGAACGUGACGGCGGACGACUUCUUCUUCGCCGGGCUGGCGAGCGCGGCCGACGUGUACGGCGGCGGCAACCCGAUGGGCUCCGUGGUGACCACGGCGGACGUGGAGAGGCUCCCGGGUCUCAACACCCUUGGCGUGUCCAUGUCCCGCGUGGACUACGCUCCAUGGGGCGGCACGAACCCGCCGCACAUGCACCCGCGCGCCACAGAGAUCCUCUUCGUGGCCGAGGGAAACCUGGAGGUGGGCUUCGUCACGACCGCCGGCAGGCACAUCACCCGAGGCGUGCCCAAGGGCGGGGUCUUCGUGUUCCCGCGCGGCAUGAUGCACUACGAGCGCAGCGUCGGCGAGGCGCCCGCCGUGGCGAUCUCAGCGUUCGACUGCCAGCUCCCCGGCACGCAGAGGCUCGGGGAGGCGAUGUUCGGGGCGGCGCCGGGGGUACCGACGGACGUGCUGGCCCGGGCGCUGCAGACCGACGGCGGCGUGGUGGAGAGCAUCAGGGCCAAGUUCCAGCCAAACUAG
rnacentral:rRNA from 1 species